AUGGGUCCCUGGAGUUGAAGUGAUUUAGGGAAAAAAAAUUCAUUCAUUAUUAUUAUUUUCCCCAAGUAGCACUCUGGUGCUGGGUGAGAGGGAUGCUGGUAGUUGCGUGAGAAGCAGCAGAAAUGAGGAGGAAGGAAGAAACUAGGAAGGAAGGAAUAUUUGAUUAUUUCUUCAUAAACAACCAAUUCCUUUAGCACCUGCUAUGGUUCCCACUGCUGUGAGAGGAAUAUCAAUGGCUUCAAUAUUCCAUUAUUUGUGGCUGGGAAGUAUUUGCCUGCUGUUCUGGGUGGCUUAGUUUUCAGACUGGCCAUAGGGCAGAAAAUGUGGCAGAUGUAAAAGGAAAAUGUUGGUCAACCUGCCCUAAAUCAGGCUGUAUAAAUCUCAUGAGAAUGCAGCUCAUUCCAAGAACAUAAAUUCCUACAUCUUUGUGGCAGAUAUCACAUGUGGCCCUUUGUAUCAACUAACUGAACAAACCUCAAGAGAUGCAGGCCAUCUUAAUGGCCAGAAUUUAUGUUCAAAAGCAGAGGAAUCAUGUGCUCCAAGCAGGAAACCAUUUUAUGACUAUUUCCUCGCCAGCAUGAUG